rnacentral:rRNA from 1 species
AGUCAAUAGAUACCCCGGUAGUCCACGCCGUAAACGAUGAAUACUAGGUGUAGGGGUUGUCAUGACCUCUGUGCCGCCGCUAAACGCAUUAAGUAUUCCGCCUGGGGAGUACGGUCGCAAGAUUAAAACUCAAAGGAAUUGACGGGGGCCCGCACAAGCAGCGGAGCAUGUGGUUUAAUUCGAAGCAACGCGAAGAACCUUACCUAGACUUGACAUCUCCUGAAUUACUCUGUAAUGGAGGAAGCCCUUCGGGGCAGGAAGACAGGUGGUGCAUGGUUGUCGUCAGCUCGUGUCGUGAGAUGUUGGGUUAAGUCCCGCAACGAGCGCAACCCUUAUUGUUAGUUGCUACCAUUAAGUUGAGCACUCUAGCAAGACUGCCCGGGUUAACCGGGAGGAAGGUGGGGAUGACGUCAAAUCAUCAUGCCCCUUAUGUCUAGGGCUACACACGUGCUACAAUGGCUGGUACAGAGAGAUGCUAAACCGCGA